rnacentral:rRNA from 1 species
UUCCGGUUGAUCCUGCCGGAGGCUACCGCUAUUGGAGUUCGAUUAAGCCAUGCGAGUCGCGAGAAAUUAGAUUCUCGGCGUACCGCUCAGUAACACGUGGGUAACCUGCCCUAUGCUGGAUAAUAACCUCGGGAAACUGAGAAUAAUGAUCCAUAGUUCACUACGCCUGGAACGGUGAGUGGAUGAAAGCCCCGGCGGCAUAGGAUGGGCCUGCGGCGUAUCAGGUUGUAGGGGGUGUAACGUACCCUCUAGCCCUCUACGCGUACGGGUGUUGGGAGACAUAGCCCGGAGAUGGAUUCUGAGACACGAAUCCAGACCCUACGGGGUGCAGCAGGCGCGAAAACUUGGCAAUGCGAGAAAUCGUGACCAGGGAACUCCAAGUGCAUCGGGUAAGACCGGUGCUUUUCUUGACUCUAAAUAGGUCUUGGAAUAAGGGGUGGGUAAGGACGGUGCCAGCCGCCGCGGUAAUACCGGCGCCUCAAGUGGUAGUCGCUUUUAUUGGGCCUAAAACGUCCGUAGCCGGUCUGAUACAUUCGUGGGUAAAUCAACCAGCUCAACUGGUUGAAUUCUGCGAGGACGGUCAGACUUGGGACCGGGAGAGGUGUGGGGUACGCUCAGGGUAGGGGUAAAAUCCUGUCAUCCUGAGCGGACCACCUGUUGCGAAGGCGCCACACUAGAACGGAUCCGACGGUCAGGGACGAAGCCUAGGGGCACGAACCGGAUUAGAUACCCGGGUAGUCCUAGGUGUAAACGCUGAGGACUUGAUGUUGGGGGUGCUCCGAGCACUCUCAGUGUCGAAGCGAAGGUGAUAAGUCCACUGCCUGGGAAGUACGGUCGCAAGGCUGAAACUUAAAGGAAUUGGCGGGGGAGCACCGCAACCUGAGGAUUGUGCGGUUUAAUUGGAUUCAACGCCGGA